rnacentral:ncRNA from 2 species
CAACCAAGCUAGGGGUGUCUGGAUGUCCAGGCUGAGAUCAAACCCUGAGAACCUGAGACCGGUUCAUACCGGCGGAGGGAAGCUGUUACUAGAGGAA